AUUACUGACCACACAAUUAUGUUUUCACUCACAAAUUUUGAUGUGUCUGCCUCACGGCACUACAACUUCCCAUGUGGACUAAGGACUAAACUGAGCAUGUGCAGAGUGAAUUAGGUGAGUUCUGAGUUGUUCCUGAUUGGAGCCAUUGCAAAGUUACAU